rnacentral:sRNA from 1 species
UAUAAUAUUUAACGAUUAUCUACAUAUACAUUUUUGCAUCCAUAUCCAUUUUGUGAAAUAAAUCUUGUAGUUGAGACUUAUUUACAAUGGCUCUCACUGAAUUUUAAUGUUUGUUUUUGAUAAUUCGAAAAA